AGCGAACGCUGGCGGCAGGCUUAACACAUGCAAGUCGAGCGGGCAUCCUUGUGGUGUCAGCGGCAGACGGGUGAGUAACGCGUGGGAACGUGCCCUUCGGUUCGGAAUAACUCAGGGAAACUUGAGCUAAUACCGGGUACGUUCGAGAGCAGAAAGGUUUAUCUGCCGAAGGAUCGGCCCGCGUCUGAUUAGCUAGUUGGUGAGGUUAUGGCUCACCAAGGCGACGAUCAGUAGCUGGUCUGAGAGGAUGAUCAGCCACACUGGGACUGAGACACGGCCCAGACUCCUACGGGAGGCAGCAGUGGGGAAUAUUGGACAAUGGGGGCAACCCUGAUCCAGCCAUGCCGCGUGAGUGAUGACGGCCUUAGGGUUGUAAAGCUCUUUUCUCCGGGACGAUAAUGACGGUACCGGAGGAAUAAGCCCCGGCUAACUUCGUG
rnacentral:rRNA from 1 species